UCCUGGGUAGCUCAGAUGGUAAAGAAUCUGCCUGCAAUGCAGGAGACCUGGGUUUGAUCCUUGGAUCAGGAA
rfam:TPA: Bos taurus chromosome 10, whole genome shotgun sequence.